UUCUCUGGCUGUUAUUGAAAGAAAACCCUCCAGGUGAAAGAACCUAGUGGGGAAACCCCCACUCAGCUCCCAAUUCGGCAUGCACCCAAGAAUCACGAAUAGAACA
rnacentral:pre_miRNA from 7 species